AGAGUUUGAUCCUGGCUCAGGACGAACGCUGGCGGCGCGCCUAACACAUGCAAGUCGAACGGAGCUUAGAGAGCUUGCUUUUUAAGCUUAGUGGCGAACGGGUGAGUAACGCGUGAGUAACCUGCCCUAGAGUGGGGGACAACAGUUGGAAACGACUGCUAAUACCGCAUAAGCCCACGGUACCGCAUGGCACUGAGGGAAAAGGAUUUAUUCGCUUUAGGAUGGACUCGCGUCCAAUUAGCUAGUUGGUGAGGUAACGGCCCACCAAGGCGACGAUUGGUAGCCGGACUGAGAGGUUGAACGGCCACAUUGGGACUGAGACACGGCCCAGACUCCUACGGGAGGCAGCAGUGGGGGAUAUUGCACAAUGGGGGAAACCCUGAUGCAGCGACGCCGCGUGGAGGAAGAAGGUUUUCGGAUUGUAAACUCCUGUCGUUAGGGACGAUAAUGACGGUACCUAACAAGAAAGCACCGGCUAACUACGUGCCAGCAGCCGCGGUAAAACGUAGGGUGCAAGCGUUGUCCGGAAUUACUGGGUGUAAAGGGAGCGCAGGCGGGAAGACAAGUUGGAAGUGAAAACCAUGGGCUCAACCCAUGAAUUGCUUUCAAAACUGUUUUUCUUGAGUAGUGCAGAGGUAGAUGGAAUUCCCGGUGUAGCGGUGGAAUGCGUAGAUAUCGGGAGGAACACCAGUGGCGAAGGCGGUCUACUGGGCACCAACUGACGCUGAGGCUCGAAAGCAUGGGUAGCAAACAGGAUUAGAUACCCUGGUAGUCCAUGCCGUAAACGAUGAUUACUAGGUGUUGGGGGAUUGACCCCCUCAGUGCCGCAGUUAACACAAUAAGUAAUCCACCUGGGGAGUACGACCGCAAGGUUGAAACUCAAAGGAAUUGACGGGGGCCCGCACAAGCAGUGGAGUAU
rnacentral:rRNA from 1 species